CUUUGCCCGUUUGUCUAAAACCCACUGCUGAGUAUAUAGUAGGUCAGGGACUACCAUACCAAUUACCAUGCCAAGCAUGUGAUUUGCUAAUAGAACUUUCUAACUGUUUGCACACCCUCUGACUUUUGCUGUUCCUUUCAACAGUGGGCAUUUACAAAUCAUAGGGGCUUCCUUCCCCUUAGGGGUGGGUUAUCACAGAUGCUAUGCUGUAGUCAAAUGGGUCCCUUUGGGGUAUUGCCACUCCACCUGUGAUUUCCAUGCACAGAGUGCUGGGAAGUGGCUGUUAACAGCCAGGAGGGAUCAGAACAGCUUUAAGCCAAGACUGUCCAGGAAAUAUCAAUGUUUGACUGCUCCCUGAUGUUGCUAAAGUUGAGAGACUGGGCAAAUGGAAAUUGGUACAACUCUGAGACUGCAUUUAAUCAGAACUGGUAACUCAAAUUCAGAUAGCAUCCUACUUGUGGAAGACAACUUUAAUUGCAGGAGACCACCAUGAGCUCCAGAAAAGCCUAACAACCUCUUCCUCUUGGCAUGAACCUCUUGUUGGUAAAGAAGCUGCCACAUGACAACUUGAGACAGCUGAAGCAAGCACAGGACAAAGUAAAAAAGACCAAUUCUGUUCAUCACAAUGUGAAAAGUGGCCACUGAGAGAUGGAACAAAUAAAGGGAGACAUGGAACACCA